rnacentral:lncRNA from 1 species
AUCUUGCAGUGGAUGCAGGGAGGGACCAUGCCUCUAGCAUUCUCUGGGAAGAAUAAAGGAGAAGUUUAUCUUCCCACCUACCUCCCAUUGCCUGUUUUUCAUUGGUCAAAACUUGUCCCACUAGGAAUUAACUCCUUCACAUUUCCAAGUUUAUAUCAUAUGACUGCUCCAACUACAUGGGACCCCAAACCCCAAACCUGAUGUAUGUAUAGUGUUCCUGUUUCAUCCAAGCCUGGAAAUGAGGGGAAGAGCCAGAACCUCUAGGCUUGGUGCUCUGGAAAAAGAAUUAGAAUUGCAUUCAAAUAGUCAGGCUUCAAGUUGCUUCUGCCUCUGUGUGAAGCAAAUAGUAACAACUCACUUCGAAACUCAGGCUCCUGGACUGUAAAUGAGGAUAAUGAUACUCACCCUACCAACCUCAGGGACUGUUCUAAGAGCAAAAUGAAAUGAGACUGAGCUCUGAAAAUGCUUAAAUGCUUUUCAAAGUAGAGUGAUCGUGCUUUCUGUAGCAUCAAAACAGUCCUCUAUAAAUGGGCAAAGUCAAGGCAUGGACUGGAUCUGACAACAGAGAAUGGCUUGAGGGCUGGAAAAAGAAAAAAAUGCAAAUGCCCCAAAUCUCUGCUUCCCUUACAGUGUGGAAAUCGCCCCAUAACACACUGCACCAGGUAGGGUUAAAUUGAUCCCAAAUGUUUCAGGAAUUUUUAAUGCCCUUCGAAGAGACAUUUCCAAUUCUUCAUCUGCCCAAAGUAAUGCUGCUAACCUACUAUCUGUCAGUUUCCUCAGUGCUUUGAAGAUUUUUCUAAAGUCAUCUGACUUGGUUUCCCUUUGAUUUCAAAUUCCUGCUUAUUAUAUGUAUGACCUUGAGCCUUUUUAACUCAUCUGAGCCUCUCUGUUUCCUCAUCUAUAAAUUGUGAAUAAGAAGACGUUACUGUAGGAUUAUUAGAAACUUUAGAAAUAAUACUUUUAAUACCAGCAUAGUGCCUGAUCCAUAGGCAUCCAGGACAUGCCAGCUAAGAUCAUUGAUUAUUGUUGUCGUUUUUAGUAUCAUACAGUAGAAAGAACAACAUCUUUGAAACCAGACAAUCCCGCAUUUAAAUCAGCUCUGUCACUUACGAAACGUGUAAUCCUGAAUAACUGAAGAAAACUUUUUGAAGUUCAAUUUUGAGAUAAUGAUGGAUGAUUUCAGACUUUGUGAGAAUUUCAGAGGUAUCGGCAGUAGGUUGAAUGGUGAACCCUCCAAAAGAUAUAUCUAUGUUCCAAACUCAGAAUCUGUGAAUGUGACAUUAUUUGGGAAAAGGGGGUUUUGCAGAUAUAAUUAAGUUAAGCAUCCUGAGAUGAGAUCAUCCUGGAUUUUCUAGAUAGGGCCUAAAGCCAAUAAUGAGUGUCUAAGACAGAAGAAGACACAAAGAAGAAGAGACGGGAAUGUGGUCACAGAGGCAGAGACUGGAGCAAUGCAGCCACAAGCCAAGGAACACCUGGACCCACCAGAAGCUGGAAGAGGAAAGAAGGGAUUUCUUUUUCUUCUAGAGCCUUGGGAGGGAGCAUGGCCCUGCUGACAACUUAUUUUCAGACUUCUAGAUUCUAGAACUAUCAGAUAAUAAAUUUAUAUUGUUUUAAGCCACUAUGUUUGUGGUGAUUUGUUCUAGCAGUCCUAGGAAACCAAUGCAGUAUUUAAUACAGAGUGCCCGGUACAAUGUUGGCAUGUGACAAGCACUCAGCAAAUGGUAGUUGCAUAGUGAGUUCUCCUCCUGUCCCCACUACCUCCUCAAUGAGUAAAUGCCUGAACAAAUCCAUAGGCAGCCAUCUGAGAGCCUGACUCCAGGGAGCAGGGGGUACAGUUAGCCUCAGCCCAUGCUAAAAUAGAAGCCUGACCUUAGUUUGGUUAAUGCCACACUCUACCACAGGCAAUUGACACCAGGGCUCUCCCAUUUUAUAAUAGCGCAGAUCCAGUCUCAUUAUGCAUUAAAGAGUUUGUUCCCCUAAAACUCUUACUGCCCCCAAAGGUUUAGAAUUUAAAAAUAAC